AUGGCCAAAUAUUGGUGGGGGAGCUCCAUAGACAAAUGUACACUCCACUGGCUCUCCUGGGAUAAACUUGCGACGCCCAAAGUGAAGGGCGGCAUGGGGUUCCGUGACAUGCAGGUGUUCAAUCUCGCAAUGCUCGGGAAACAUGGCUGGCGCCUUCUCACAAAACCGGAGUCUUUGUGCUCGCGAGUGCUCAAGGGAAAAUAUUAUCCGCACACUGACUUCCUGAAUGCGAGUGUUCCAGCUCGAGCUUCGGCUACGUGGAAAGCAAUUAUUGCGGGGAGA
rnacentral:rRNA from 1 species